rnacentral:sRNA from 1 species
AGUCAGGCCCAUUCCUGGGCGUUUCCUCCCUAAAGACUUCCCAGCCGGGCCCUCGGGCCCGGUCUUUUUUUUUGCCCUC